CAUGAUUGGCCCCUUUUGUCAGCUGACAGCUGCUGAGAUGUUAUUUAAGAGUUUAUAUUUACUUUCCUUCUUUGCUGUAAACAAAGAUAAUAAAGACACAACUUGGCAAUAAGGGGACACCUGGAGAGAACGAAAUUGAUUUUAAUUUGGCGAGAUGCUCUGGAUCAUCUAACUCAGAUGCUGUUCAUUUGAAGAACUAUAGAUAUUUUUGACCCAAAUGCUUUCCUUUCCAAACAACGCAGCUCGUAGUCCAACCCCUGAGGCUCAGAACCCAUCACCAUCUUUGCAUGGGGAAGAGCAGGCACAGCAAGCACAGGAUCUUUCUGCUGGAUUCCUAGUUAAAGAAGUACAAGCUACACAGUUUUUGGCUGGAAUAAGAGAGAGAAAUGGCCAUUACAGCCAUGUCUCUUGUGAGAAGAGGAAUUCCAGUACACAGUAUGGGCUUUCAACACCAACGUUAAUAGGCAGCAGAAGUUUGCCUAUGCCAUCACUGUUUGCCUAUCACUGUCAUCAACAGGCUAGUCUGAUGCCAAUAUGAUGCUGAUGGAAGCAGUCAUUAAAUGGACAAUAGAGCUGGUGAGCUCACAGAAGAUGAGAAUAGAAGGAGAGUUAAUAGAACAAUCAUGCAGACUCCAUCUAUAGAAGAUCUUCUAUUGGUUCUCAAGAGAUAGAAGAAUGGAAAGUACAGCUAGGUCUGGGUUGUAACAAUAAACUUAGUGAGUAUUUGGAUCAUCUAAAUAAAUCUAGGUGAACUGGGGCCUUCAAAGCUUCUGGGAACUAUGUGUCCAAGCACCAAGACCACUGGCUACCAUAGCAGAACUGUUGGUAUUUCAAAGAAGAGGAGCAUUGCUCGCUCACUCUUGCUCUAAAACAAACAAACAAAGCACAUGUACAGUGUCAUGUCAACCUGCCUCCCUGCCCAAAAUUGCCGUGAUUAUCUUCAUGUGAUCCUAUGCCUUCCAUGUGACUUCUACAUUCUUAGACUUCUUUUAGAUGUUCAUCUUACCAGCAUGAUUACAUCUUCUGCAGGAGCUAUUCCCACAUGGACAUCUAAACACUUCUAGCCAUGUGGGUUGCUUUAACAACUGUUAAUAUUCUACAACAGUUGAUUCUGUUGUAGAAUCUGUUAACAACUACACAGAUGAUGCUUAGCCUCCUUGGGAGUGUGCCACUUGCAAUAUACAGUAUCUAACUACAUAAUUACAGAAACCUGCAACUUUUUAGAUGUUCUAACUGCAUGGAAGCAAUUCUGCCACACACUGAGAAGAGAAGGGGCUAAAUAUUACUGGAGCAGCACAGGAUGUAGCCACAGGAAGGGCUCCAUCUCUCCCAUAAUGUAAACAUCAGUCCUUAUCAUAUGCAAAAAUUGUACACAACAGGCAUGGGGAACAUGAGAAAGUUAUUCAAGUAUUUGAUCUUUAUUUAUGGAAAUGUUUGAAAAUUAAUUAUGCAAUCUACAUCAUCAUGCAGAUGUCUUUUAAGCUCAGCAUCACUUCUUCCUGUUUUUUGGAUUGGUUUGGUCUGGUCAGGUCUAUUUUCUUUUUCAUACUUGCACUUGGUAGACAUAAUAUUGUUUUGUAGAGUUACUAGGCAGGAUGGGAGGGAUAACUUUGUAAGUGUGAGCUUGGGGAAAGGGGCUGGGAUAUAGGAUAAAGCUGACAUUGGUCAUGUGAAAUGUUUAUUUCUAAAUUGUUUUUUAAAUAAAAUGUAAAGUAUAUUUAAAAAUAAGCCCUUAGUGGGAGAUUCAGCCAUGCACAUGAUUCUUGGGUUAGUAUGGCAGUCUCUACUAAUGUAUAAUGUCUGGAUCAGAAUUACAAGUGCUUUUGCUCAAAUGUUUUGCUUAACUGUCCGGUGGAUCGGAACCAGUGUCUGUCUUUCAAGGUCAUGGAUAUAUUCAGCUGCGCUUGAUGAUCUGGGACAUAAUAGCUCCUUUUUAAUCACCUGCUGUGGUAUUUCCGGUACUUCACUUGCAGUUAUGGAUUUAAGAAGCAUUGUUCUUCCAAAGUAAGCUUUCCAUAAAUAGUAGAAUAGGAGUCUGUUAAAUUAUGAACACAUUAAAUGUGGCUUUCACGUG